rnacentral:rRNA from 1 species
CCUACGGGCGGCUGCAGUGGGGAAUAUUGGACAAUGGGCGAAAGCCUGAUCCAGCCAUGCCGCGUGUGUGAAGAAGGCCUUCGGGUUGUAAAGCACUUUCAGUGGGGAAGAAAGCCUUGGGGCUAAUACCCUCGAGGAAGGACAUCACCCACAGAAGAAGCACCGACUAACUCCGUGCCAGCAGCCGCGGUAAUACGGAGGGUGCGAGCGUUAAUCGGAAUUACUGGGCGUAAAGCGCGCGUAGGCGGUCUGAUAAGCCGGUUGUGAAAGCCCCGGGCUCAACCUGGGAACGGCAUCCGGAACUGUCAGGCUAGAGUGCAGGAGAGGAAGGUAGAAUUCCCGGUGUAGCGGUGAAAUGCGUAGAGAUCGGGAGGAAUACCAGUGGCGAAGGCGGCCUUCUGGACUGACACUGACGCUGAGGUGCGAAAGCGUGGGUAGCAAACAGGAUUAGAUACCCUAGUAGUC